rnacentral:rRNA from 1 species
UACGUAGGGUGCAAGCGUUGUCCGGAAUUAUUGGGCGUAAAGAGCUCGUAGGCGGUUUGUCGCGUCUGCUGUGAAAACCCGAGGCUCAACCUCGGGCCUGCAGUGGGUACGGGCAGACUAGAGUGCGGUAGGGGAGAUUGGAAUUCCUGGUGUAGCGGUGGAAUGCGCAGAUAUCAGGAGGAACACCGGUGGCGAAGGCGAGUCCCUGGACGAUACCUGACACUGAGGCACGAAAGCCAAGGGAGCAAACAGG